rnacentral:misc_RNA from 1 species
GAUGAAGAACGCAGCGAAAUGCGAUAAGUAAUGUGAAUUGCAGAAUUCAGUGAAUCAUCGAGUCUUUGAACGCACAUUGCGCCCCCUGGUAUUCCGGGGGGCAUGCCUGUCCGAGCGUCAUUGCCGCCCUCAAGCACGGCUUGUGUGUUGGGCCCCCGCCCCCCGGCUUCGGGGGGCGGGCCCGAAAGGCAGCGGAGGCACCGCGUCCGGUCCUCGAGCGUAUGGGGCUUCGUCACCCGCUCUGUAGGCCCGGCCGGCGCCCGCCGGCGACCCCAAUCAAUCUUUCCAGGUUGACCUCGGAUCAGGUAGGGAUACCCGCUGAACUUAAGCAUAUCAAUAAGCGGAGGA